rnacentral:rRNA from 1 species
UGGGGAAUAUUGGACAAUGGGCGAAAGCCUGAUCCAGCCAUGCCGCGUGUGUGAAGAAGGCCUUAUGGUUGUAAAGCACUUUAAGUGGGGAGGAAAAGCUUAUGGAUAAUACCCAUAGGUUCUGACGUUACCCACAGAAUAAGCACCGGCUAACUCUGUGCCAGCAGCCGCGGUAAUACAGAGGGUGCGAGCGUUAAUCGGAAUUACUGGGCGUAAAGCGAGCGUAGGUGGUUUAUUAAGUCAGAUGUGAAAUCCCUGGGCUUAACCCAGGAACUGCAUCUGAUACUGAUAAACUAGAGUAGGUGAGAGGAAAGUAGAAUUCCAGGUGUAGCGGUGAAAUGCGUAGAUAUCUGGAGGAAUACCGAUGGCGAAGGCAGCUUUCUGGCAUCAUACUGACACUGAGGUUCGAAAGCGUGGGUAGCAAACAGGAUUAGAUACCCUGGUAGUCCACGCCGUAAACGAUGUCUACCAGUCGUUGGGUCUUUUAAAGACUUAGUGACGCAGUUAACGCAAUAAGUAGACCGCCUGGGGAGUACGGCCGCAAGGUUA